AUUGAACGCUGGCGGCAGGCCUAACACAUGCAAGUCGAACGAGUGGCGGACGGGUGAGUAAUGUCUGGGAAUCUGGCUGAUGGAGGGGGAUAACGACGGGAAACUGUAGCUAAUACCGCAUACCAUAGGAUGUGCCCAAGUGGGAUUAGGUAGUUGGUGGGGUAAUGGCCCACCAAGCUGACGAUCCCUAGCUGGUCUGAGAGGAUGACCAGCCACACUGGGACUGAGACACGGCCCAGACUCCUACGGGAGGCAGCAGUGGGGAAUAUUGCGCAAUGGGCGCAAGCCUGACGCAGCCAUGCCGCGUGAAUGAAGAAGGCCUUCGGGUUGUAAAGUUCUUUCGGCGUAGAGGCGUUAAAUGCAGAAGAAGCACCGGCUAACUCCGUGCCAGCAGCCGCGGUAAUUC
rnacentral:rRNA from 1 species